AUUUUUUUAAUAUAAUUAAAGUAUAUCUGAUUUCCAAUCAGAAAGUCUAACCCUUAGAAAAAAUA
rnacentral:tRNA from 1 species